rnacentral:rRNA from 1 species
AGGGAAAGAGCCCAAACCAAAGAUUUAUCUUUGGGGUUGCGGACAGAACAUUAACGAGAAAUUAUGGUUAACCGAACACAACUGGAAAGUUGGACCGUAGGGGGUAAUAGUCCUGUAGGUGAAAAUUAUAAUGAUCAAGUUCUGAUCCAGAGUACCACGAGACACGUGAAACCUUGUGGGAAGCAGGGAGGACCACCUCCCAAGGCUAAAUACUACCUGAUGACCGAUAGUGAAGCAGUACCGUGAGGGAAAGGU